UCACGAAUAAUUAAGCUCAGAACUUCUGAAAAUCCCUACAUGCCUUGUAUUUACAAAAUCACUCAACCACUGAAUGGCAGUAUUAUAGAUUAACAAAAUAAAUAAAUGGUUUGAACAAAUGAACUUCUAUCAAUUUAAACAUUUGUAAUUUACAUGAACAGUCACCUAAGCAAAUACACUGUCAAUUAUGGAAUACAUCAUCUUAUGCUUAAAAUUACAACAUCCAUCCUCCAUUAAAGAAUACAGGUUUGGUUAACCUUCACUAUGAUCACAACUCUAACUCAUGCUUAAUGAAUAACAAACCCAAACAACAAAGAGCCGACAGAGAUGAAACUUCACUCAAGCCUUAAAUGGCAAAUCAAACCAACUUGUGGCCAGAUCCACCAUUAUUGACCUGCAAAUACAGCAUUAGACUUUAAUUUAUCAGAAUACAAAAGCAAGUUCAGAUUUCAGUAGUUAACACUCAAAUAUAGGCAGCAUGUAUUUGAUAAUGAGAUAUGUGGGUUGAGAUCCAACUAAACAUGUGAAAUUAGCUACAAUUCUUGUCAGGAAAUUGUAAUGGAGACCAUUUGUCCUUAACAUGCAAAUCCAUAAUAGAUUUUAAGUCUUAAACAUAUCAAAACUAACAUCUAUUCAUGUUCAAAACAGAACAAACAGUCAGUUUAUAUAAUCACAACAAAUAACUUUAAAGAAUAACCAACAUUUCAUUGCAAAUCAAAACAGAGGUACAUGUGUGAGAUGUGUACCUGAACUCAUAAACAAGCUGAACCUUUUCCAAAUAAAGGCUAAGAAAACCAACACGAGAUGAAUUCAACAAGAUCAACAGCAGGAAACAAAAGAACAACCUCAAGUCUUAGCUAAACAGCAGAGUGACAACAACAGAUUUUUUCAACAACUCUAUGCAAUUUUGAAGAAAACAGAAGUUGAAUAGCAAAUCAAAAGAGAGAAAACAGCUUGUGAAAACCUUGAUCGAAUUUUCAGAGUGUUAUCUUUUAGAAAUCAGUGUAAAAAAUAAAGAAAAAGAGUCUGAAAUUUUUGGAGAGAGUGAAUGUCCAAAAUGAAUAUGCAGGGGUGAUUUAUAUAGGGAAUAUGUGUGCCAUAUGAGAGAAUGAGAGAGAGUGUGAGAGUAUUCUGCCAGCUCCCUAAAAAUCAGGAAUUGUCAUCUUUUUCAACUAAAUUGGACAGCUGUACUUUUCAGAUAUUUUUUCUUAUUUUCAGCAUCUUUUCUUAACCAAUUUGGACAGCUGUCCAUCAUCUAUUCCUUUCCUAUUUUUAUCAGCCCCUUACUUCUGAAAUUAACCCCUUUUGACCUUUGAUUUACUGCAUUUUAACCCCUUCCCAAACUCUUCUAGAACUUUCCAUCAACUAAAAGAGAAUCUAAUUUUCUAUCCCAUUCACCCCACUAAAAUUCCAAUUAAUACCAACUACUGCCUUUACCUCAACCUACUGUCCUCUUUUAUCCCACAUAAUCAAUAUUUACUAAACAACAACUAAUUAAUCUAAAUUGAAAUUAAGCUAUCAAGUACAAAUUAAUCACAAUCAGCAAACUAAUUGACCUAUCAAUUAAGCACAUGCGUAAUUAAAACCAUAACCUAAUUAAUCGAUUGAACUUCAAGUAGAACUAAAUCAAAUAAUUAUUCGGAAAGCUAAAAUAUUUUCAAUUAUUAACCUAAGAAUGCUGACAUUCAAACAGGUGAUUACUAACUAAAUGCAAGCCUACGGUUAUUUAGCUAAUCUAUGAGCGAAACUGAUUCAAUUAAACUAGGUCAAACAAACCACACAAUUAAAAAAAAUCUUCUGCUUUCAACAAACAAAAUCAACAAAAGAAUAAGAUAAAAAGGGUGAGGGAGUACCUAUGGAAGGAAAGACGAUUCAAUUGAAGCGAUUUCAAUGAGGUUCGACCGGAUUCCGAUGGUUCCGAAAUGAGCUAAAACUUACAUUAAUCAAUUGCCCUUGACUAGAGCAAUUGAUCAAUGUCAGUUUCAAGUCAAAACAGUUGAGAAUCAAUGAAGAAAUCAAAAGGGAAUGAAGCUAGGUUUUCUGACCGUUUUUUAGAUCUGAAAUUCGUGAAGUUUGGGUGGUUUUUUUGGGGAAAUUGAUGGGAUAUUCGGGAUUAGGAGGAUGUGAGGACUGUGGGGUGUGACUUUGAGGGAGAUUGGAGUUGUUUGAAGCGGCGCCGCUAGCAAAGGGUCUUGGGACGGCUAGGAUUUGAGUGAGAGAGAUGAGAGGGAAUGAAAAUGGGGGUCUCU
rnacentral:lncRNA from 1 species